rnacentral:rRNA from 1 species
GAUGCAGCCAUGCCGCGUGUGUGAAGAAGGCCUUCGGGUUGUAAAGCACUUUCAGCGAGGAGGAAGGGUUCAGUGUUAAUAGCACUGUGCAUUGACGUUACUCGCAGAAGAAGCACCGGCUAACUCCGUGCCAGCAGCCGCGGUAAU